AGUAACACGUGAGUAACCUGCCCUUCACUCUGGGAUAACUCCGGGAAACCGGUGCUAAUACUGGAUAUGACCUGAACAGGCAUCUGUAUCGGGUGGAAAGAUUUAUUGGUGGGGGAUGGACUCGCGGCCUAUCAGCUUGUUGGUGAGGUAAUGGCUCACCAAGGCGACGACGGGUAGCCGGCCUGAGAGGGCGAUCGGCCACACUGGGACUGAGACACGGCCCAG
rnacentral:rRNA from 1 species